CCACCCCCAUAAUUCUAGAGUUAGAGCCCAGGGUCUCAGGCAUGUGAGGCAAAGUAUCUUCCCGGAGCAAAGUUAAUGCUGAGGAAGUUUGGAAGAAGCCUGUUCCAGAGUUCCCUGAAGCUAUGUGUGGUAGUGCACGCCUGUUCCUCCAGCACCUGAGGGCCGAAAGCAGAGGGUUUAAAGUGGGAAGCCAACGUGGGCUUUGUGUGCUUCAAAUAAAGAAGAGGACAGAGUUCUUUGAACGCCAGUCUACUGAAAACUAAAAUGGAGUUCCAGAAAACACUGUGUCCCAGAAAUUCAGCUCCUUCAUUCAACUGCUUCAGACUCUCAAAAAUAGUUCUGAUUUCAUUCACUCAGCUGCGUUGGCGUUCCAAAGUGAAGGUACUCAUGGCUGGAGGUUCUGACUAGCUUUGGAGUAUCGAGAGGACCUGGCUGGUCUUGACAGGAAAUUUGAUAAUCAAUUGACCUUGCAAAGCUAAUGACAACCGGGGCCGGGUCACUACACUUCAAGGAAAGGUAAACUUGAGCUCCCCUCAAAGUCUGGGAAAGUUGGCUCCUGUGUCUCUCAGAGACAAGCUCAGAACCUUUAAGAAUGAUGGCCCUUUACCUGUUUCCUUCCUUCCUUUCUGUUUUUCCUCGGGACGGCCUCCGUGUCUGUAAAGCCAAAUGAAAAGGGAGAUGGUCUAUUCCAAACCAUGGAGGUGAGAUUAUCUCUGCUACCCUUAGCCGGACAGGAAGGAGCAGUGUUGCGAACUGCUGGCUCUGUCUAAAAUGACAAGAAAGGAGAAGCAUGGGGCCCCGCCCUGCUGUCCACGAUGAAGGCAGCAGUCCUCAAGAUGCAGCUGCUUGAAUAGAAAUGUCCACCAGCGUCCUCACUUCAUAGCUAGAAAUGAAGGCAAAGUGCUUGAAUCAUGUCAUCAAAAGCCCCAGAGACUGCAAAAUCUGAGAGUAACAGCUAGUCAUAGAGGCUGAGGUGUCUUAAGAAUUUCAAUGUCUGCAGGGCAUGGUACUGUGUGUGUUUCGCACCAUAUUUCAUCUAAUUCUCCCAACCUCCCUGAGUCGUAGGCUGUAGUGGGUAGCUGUUCCAGCUUUGACCUGGAAGUACCACCCCCAAUGAGGAUUCCAGCGGGGGGGAGGAGAGAGGAGCCCUUAAGACCCAAGAUCCAAAUGUGCCUGCUCUCUUGGUUCCUGGAUCCUGGAUGCUGGAUGCUGGAUGUAGACUGAGCAGAGUUCUCCAGAGAACCCAACUGGACUGCACUACACCUCUCCGGACCGUGUAACCAAUCCCUUUACUUGUAAGUUACCCCACAAAAUAAAUCUCCCCUUUACGUGGAGUUGCCUUAAUACUUCCACCGAUAGUAGGCUCUUAACAUUACCCCCAGAAAUGAAAGCAAAGCUACAGAAUGGUAGAUUGAAGACUCAAGCAUGGCACAGUGCAGCACCCCAACAGCUGGUCCCGUGGUUGAGGGUUUGGGGAGGUAUCUGUGACCAGUCUGGGGGUCCCUGGGAGCUGGCGGUGUUUGAAGUGGAAGAAUAGCAAGACCAGGUGCAGAGGAGAGCUGGCAUUGACUUCAGGGGCCAUUGUACUGGGCUCUUAUAAAUUCGAAGAACAUCACUGGGCAGGCAGAAACCUCUUAAACCAACAGUCUUCCUGGACCACAGGUCAGAGCUUGACAUCUGGUCCCGUUACCACAAGAAAGAAACACACGCUCUCUGCUAGCUGUUAUUUGACUUGUUUUACACAGAAGGGAUUUAACAGGAGUGUCUAUAUAACAUGGAUCUCAAUUAAAAAGCAGUUCAUAUUCUAUGUUUUGCUAAGGACAUUUUUCAAACACUAAUUGAUCAAGCUGGGAUUACACGCCACGAUCAGACAUCUUUUGUUUGUGUUAAUUUUUUUUUCAGCCUCACCCUUUCUUUCCUCCAAAUUUAAUAAAUCUGCAUUGGAUAUGC